rnacentral:rRNA from 1 species
AGCGAACGCUGGCGGCAGGCUUAACACAUGCAAGUCGAACGGGCGUAGCAAUACGUCAGUGGCAGACGGGUGAGUAACGCGUGGGAACGUACCUUUUGGUUCGGAACAACCCAGGGAAACUUGGGCUAAUACCGGAUAAGCCCUUACGGGGAAAGAUUUAUCGCCGAAAGAUCGGCCCGCGUCUGAUUAGCUAGUUGGUGUGGUAACGGCGCACCAAGGCGACGAUCAGUAGCUGGUCUGAGAGGAUGAUCAGCCACAUUGGGACUGAGACACGGCCCAAACUCCUACGGGAGGCAGCAGUGGGGAAUAUUGGACAAUGGGCGCAAGCCUGAUCCAGCCAUGCCGCGUGAGUGAUGAA